UUUUUACCCACGACCCACGCCUUUUUACCCACGACCCACGCCUUUUUACCCACGCCCCACGCCUUUUUACCCACGCCUUUUUACCCACGACCCACGCCUUUUUACCCACGACUUACGACUUUUUACCCACGACCCACGACUUUUUACCCACGACCCACGACAUUCUACCCACGACCCACGACUUUUUACCCACGACCCACGACAUUCUACCCACGACCCACGACAUUCUACCCACGACCCACGACCCACGACUGUUAGCUAGUCCCGUGUCAGGAGCGGGUAGGAAUGCCGGUAGUACUGAGCAAUUAAGUGGAGGGUUAUCU
rnacentral:lncRNA from 1 species